rnacentral:rRNA from 1 species
UGACGAGUUUGAUCCUGGCUCAGAUUGAACGCUGGCGGAAUGCUUUACACAUGCAAGUCGAACGGUAGAGGGGGGCAACCCCUUGAGAGUGGCGAACGGGUGAGUAAUAUAUCGGAACGUGCCCAGUCGUGGGGGAUAACGUAGUGAAAAUUACGCUAAUACCGCAUACGAUCUAAGGAUGAAAGCGGGGGUACUUUGCAGCAAUGCAAAGCCUCGCGCGAUCGGAGCGGCCGAUGUCAGAUUAGGUAGUUGGUGGGGUAAAGGCUCACCAAGGCGACGAUCAGUAGCUGGUCUGAGAGGAUGAGCA